rnacentral:rRNA from 1 species
CUAGAAUUGACGGGACCGCACAAGCGGUGGAUGAUGUGGAUUAAUUCGAUGCAACGCGAAAACCUUACCUACCCUUGACAUGUCCGGAAUCCCGAAGAGAUUUGGGAGUGCUCGCAAGAGAGCCGGAACACAGGUGCUGCAUGGCUGUCGUCAGCUCGUGUCGUGAGAUGUUGGGUUAAGUCCCGCAACGAGCGCAACCCUUGUCAUUAGUUGCUACAUUCAGUUGGGCACUCUAAUGAGACUGCCGGUGACAAACCGGAGGAAGGUGGGGAUGACGUCAAGUCCUCAUGGCCCUUAUAGGUGGGGCUACACACGUCAUACAAUGGAUGGUACAAAGGGUCGCCAACCCGCGAGGGGGAGCCAAUCCCAUAAAGCCAUUCGUAGUCCGGAUCGCAGUCUGCAACUCGACUGCGUGAAGUCGGAAUCGCUAGUAAUCGUGGAUCAGAAUGUCACGGUGAAUACGUUCCCGGGUCUU